rnacentral:rRNA from 1 species
AUUGAACGCUGGCGGCAUGCUUUACACAUGCAAGUCGAACGGUAACAGGUUAAGCUGGCGAGUGGCGAACGGGUGAGUAAUACAUCGGAACGUACCUAUUAGUGGGGGACAACUAAGCGAAAGUUUAGCUAAUACCGCAUACGACCUGAGGGUGAAAGCAGGGGAUCUUCGGACCUUGCGCUAAUAGAGCGGCCGAUGGCUGAUUAGCUAGUUGGUGAGGUAAAGGCUCACCAAGGCGACGAUCAGUAGCGGGUCUUAGAGGACGAUCCGCCACACUGGAACUGAGACACGGUCCAGACUCCUACGGGAGGCAGCAGUGGGGAAUCUUGGACAAUGGGCGAAAGCCUGAUCCAGCAAUGCCGCGUGGGUGAAGAAGGCCUUCGGGUUGUAAAGCCCUUUUGUACGGGAGCAAAUCCUUGUCGCUAAUACCGGCUGGGGAUGAGAGUACCGUAAGAAUCAGCACCGGCUAACUACGUGCCAGCCGCCGCCGUAA